UACGUAGGGGGCAAGCGUUGUCCGGAUUUAUUGGGCGUAAAGAGCGUGUAGGCGGCCAACUAAGUCCUGCGUGAAAUCUCGGGGCUCAACCCCGAGCGGUCGUGGGAAACUGGUUGGCUAGAGUGCGGGAGAGGAGACUGGAAUUCCUGGUGUAGCGGUGGAAUGCGCAGAUAUCAGGAGGAACACCGGUGGCGAAGGCGGGGUCUCUGGGCAGUAACUGACGCUGAGGAGCGAAAGCGUGGGGAGCGAACAGG
rnacentral:rRNA from 1 species